GGACUGCAUUAGUUACUUUUCUGGCCAUGA
rnacentral:piRNA from 1 species